GGGCACUCUGCGGAGACUGCCGGUGAUAAACCGGAGGAAGGUGGGGAUGACGUCAAGUCAGCAUGGCCUUUAUGUCUGGGGCUACACACGUGCUACAAUGGCCGGUACAAACCGUCGCGAUCUCGCGAGAGGGAGCUAAUCGGAGAAAGCCGGUCUCAGUUCGGAUUGCAGGCUGCAACUCGCCUGCAUGAAGUUGGAAUCGCUAGUAAUCGCGGAUCASCACGCCGCGGUGAAUACGUU
rnacentral:rRNA from 1 species